UACAGAGGUCCCAAGCGUUGUUCGGAUUCAUUGGGCGUAAAGGGUGCGUAGGCGGCGCGGUAAGUCGGGUGUGAAAUCUCGGGGCUUAACUCCGAAACUGCAUUCGAUACUGCCGUGCUUGAGGACUGGAGAGGAGACUGGAAUUUACGGUGUAGCGGUGAAAUGCGUAGAUAUCGUAAGGAAGACCAGUGGCGAAGGCGGGUCUCUGGACAGUUCCUGACGUGAGGCACGAAGGCCAGGGGGAGCAAACGGGG
rnacentral:rRNA from 1 species